ACUUUCUUGGAGCUUAGCGAACAUCAGCGAACUUCAAUUGUCUCGCACAAAUGGCGUCACGUUUGUAAAAUCCGUUUCACCAUUCAGCGCUUUGACAUUUUGACGUAAUCAUCAUCCAGCACCAGCAGGGAUGGGAUUUCAUUUUCGAUAGGUGUGAGUAGUAGUUUUUUGUGUGGCUCUGUUAAAGUCUCUUCUAAAAACACCUAUUUCUGCAUCGAAUCCUCAGUACAGCACCGUGCGCAUUGCUCAACCGCUCGCGUUCUUUUCUGCGCCAAAGCGCUUUAAGGCCCGGCCGGUCUGAGGGUGCCUUUUUCUUCUGGUGGUUGUAGCCGUUGUUAUGCUUGCUGUGUGUAUGUGUUCCGCAGCAGAUUCUAAUGCCGUCCGGGCCAGACCGCUCCUUUACCAGCGUAAAACGACGGUACACACCGUCUGCAGUCCCUUGAUCUCGAUCACGGCGAGGAGGUGGCACCGAAGUCGGACCAUAAUUGGAAUGUCGGCACUCCUCCGGUGGUUGUUUCGUAUCAAUACCGCACCAUCUUGCUUGAAGUUGCUGGCUCGGUACGUUUUUUCUUCUUCUUCUUCUUCGGUGGUAUAUGGAAGUGGCGGCAGUGCAGGAUGGGGCCUAGUAGAUCAUUAUUUGAUACGCGGGGGGACUUUAUUUGCAAAAGCUCAGGAAAAAUGUCUCCCUGUUAGCACGACAAAAGACGGCAAACAACCGAAUGCUGGCUGCUAGCAUCCUCUUGUGGUGAGAAUCGGUGCACCCCCCGGUUCCGAAAGGUGGCAAUUGUAGCGUUUGCCAGAUUCAUGACUUGUAGUUUGAGAAGCAGAAAGAGAUAGAAGGUUCAAAUUUUUGCGAAUGAAAAAAAAUAAUAACGAAAAAGGGCAAACAUCGUCUAGAAAUCGUGGGAUGAUGGAACAAUCGAUUGCGAUAGGUUUCGUUGAGGAGUGGUGAAAUUAAAAAAAACAAUCCGAAACAAUCGAUCCUGCUGCUCGGUGUAUUUGUUUAUAUUUAGAGAAGGGCACGAAAAGGAGUACACUCCACUAUUUUCACUCCUUAUUCGAAAACUAGUAUCACACUCAAGGGUGGAGAACGAAACGAAAACAAAAAACACAUCAAAGUAUUAGUGUUUGAUUCUCGUAGCGUUGCACGUAUGUAUAUCAUUGUUGGGUGUGCUGGGUUGGAGGUUUUUGCACUGUGAGUCAGUGUGAGCACCCCAAAAAGGUGGGUACGGCAUGAGUCGGACAUGCACACUCGGGUAGGGUUGGGGGGGGACUUGAUCUGAGUAGAAUAAUUUAUAAAUAAAAGCUAACGUUCGACAUGCUCGACACGAGAGAAAUCAUCAAUUUUCCGUACGGUAGGGAACGAACUUCAAUGAGCUGAGGAAUUGAAAGGAUUUCUUUGGAAAAAACAGAGAUACAUUCAAGUGUGAAUUCCAACUAGAACGCAUGGUGUUAUUGUGUGUUUUUUGUGGAUAGUGAAUUUGAAAAUAGAAAAUGGUGUUAUUGGAUUAUGUGUGCAAUUUUUGGGAGCAAAAAAUGAAAAGCUCAUUUGAAGGUUUAGGUGUAUAAUCUAGGUUUAGAUUGAAUUUAGUUGAGUGAGAUUUUCAAUGUGAUUUAAUUUAAGGCCCUUUUGCAUAAUAGAAGCUUAAUACAAUUUGGAGCAAAUGUUCGAUUGGUGUUGCGAAACCCCUUUGCUCAUCGCUUCGAUUUGUUUGCCACGAAAUAAGCGCAAGGUUAAAAUCAAUCACACCACUUAAUCUGCACAGCGCAAACAGAUCAUCUUUAAUGGAAAAUAAAUAAGAGUACGUAUAUUGGUUGCUUACGGUGAUAAGAAAACCCAAUCAAUCAAACCAUUCACCGGGACAGCCGAAGAAGAAGCGCCGUUUCGUAUCGCAUUUCGUUGCCAUUAUUUAUCUGGCAUAUUCGUACGAAACGAAGUAUACAAAUGGUACCCCAACCGAAGCGGGACCAUGACCGCAACCGGCACAAACAGCGGGCGGUAUGCAGUUUAUACGGUUUGACAUUGGUGCAAAUUAAACGCAAAUAUUUCUUCGCACUUAUGGUACGGUUUGGCGGUGUGGUGCUAUGAACUGUAAGUGGCAAUAAAACGGUGCAUGCGAAAAGCACAAGAUGAAGCAAUCGUCAGAACGGCAUUGUCGUUGGUUUGGUUAUGGCCAAAAACGAGAAGGAACUGUAAUUUAGUGUGAAUUUGUGAAGACGCAGCGUGUUGUGCACCUGAUAAUUUACAGCACAAGAAGAAUUGUGGAAUGUGAAGAUUUGGAAAGAAUUUUCGGGUGCCGGAAUGUUUCGCGUGUAAGAAGAUUACAGUGAUUGCGUGUUAAAUUCUCAUGAAUUCAAAAUUCGUUAUGGUUAUGUGGAAUUUUCGUAUGCCUAAGAUGUAUUUAUGAUGACUCUGGAACAGAAAAUAACCGUUCCGCAUUGGGUCAUUGAUCGCAACAUGUUUUUAUUGGACGCUUUUUAAACCACAUACUAAAAUUUUUAAUACAACAUGUUUUUUUAUUUAAGUUUUAAGUAAUUUGUUAACAAACGUCUGAAAAAAAUGUUAGAUCAUAAAAUAAACAGAAAAAGUGGUUUAAAACGCUCAUAAUAGCAUUUGGCAGCCGCAUUCCACCCAAAACAUCAAACGACUUCAACUAGCGGUGAGGCGACGAACCUGAUCUGGAUUACGAAUAUCAUCCGUUCGAGAUACUCCUGCUGGAUCGUUUCACUUUUAUCCUGGUUUAGGAACUACGAAAGAUCGGAAAGCCAACGAAUGGUUCGUUUUGUCAAAUAAUUAAAUCAGCUGUCUAGACUAUUGUGUUAUCAAUAAGUUCAAGUAGUGAUAAUGGCCAUUAGAUUAACAAAUAUGAUGUAAAAUUGUGAUACGAACUAUAAAUGAAUAAACAAAGAAAUGUAAAUUGAAAAAUUUAA